UACAGAGGUCCCAAGCGUUGUUCGGAUUCAUUGGGCGUAAAGGGUGCGUAGGCGGCGCGGUAAGUCGGGUGUGAAAUCUCGGAGCUUAACUCCGAAACUGCAUUCGAUACUGCCGUGCUUGAGGACUGGAGAGGAGACUGGAAUUUACGGUGUAGCGGUGAAAUGCGUAGAUAUCGUAAGGAAGACCAGUGGCGAAGGCGGGGUCUCUGGACAGUUCCUGACGCUGAGGCACGAAGGCCAGGGGGAGCAAAACGGGG
rnacentral:rRNA from 1 species